AAAUGUUAAGUAUAGUCUACAAUUCUGAUACCAACUAUGAGUAUUCUACUCAACUUUGUUAAUACGAUGAUUGUAAAUGAUAAAUUUUAGUUAUCUCAUUUCGUAAGACCCCAAGAUUUUGUAGUUAUUUUAGUUUUUUCUGUUAUUAUAAAAUAUAUCCCUAGGUGUUUUCCUAGCGGAUUGUCAAAAAAUAAAAUUUGAAUAAGGUAUUAGGUUGUAUUGUUACUUUUGGUUGGGCCCGAGGGCCUCGGGAUGAUUUCAGCUGGUCGACGGGAAGAAUUUCUAAAGUGUGCAGUAGCAGAUCUUUAGCGGAACCACAGAAGCGGCAUGGCGCACUGCAGAAGUAAGUGUGGAACCCUCGUCAGAGACCGUAGAAGGGGUGUGGCCUCCGUAAAUGUGGAACCGCAUAAGCGGUUUUUUUGUCCGCAGACGCGGAAAACGAGGUUUAAUGAGAAAUCGCAGAAGCGGCUCGAAGUCUGCAUAUGCGGGACUGCUGAAGCGGUGCCUUAUCCCCAGAAGCGGAAAUGCCUGUUCUGAAAUAGUAGGAUCCCACUGUUUAAUUUAAAAGUUGGAGAAAUCAAAAUUUAGCUCGAGAUAAGGCGAUUUUAGGCGGAUUUUAAAGAGGAG
rnacentral:lncRNA from 1 species